rnacentral:lncRNA from 12 species
AUGAGCAGGAGAGACGGGAAGGAAGGCAGCAGAUGGGCAGGGAGCCUCAGAGCCCAGAGCGUCCAGGAGAGCGGUGAGCAGCUGGGCCACCGGGGACAUGGAAGGCCAGGAGGACGGUUUGCAGGAAGUCCUGCCGAUCAGGGAGUGGGAUCAUCCUCUCGGGCACCGGGGACGCGGCCGAUGUUUCUCAGCGGUGGUGUGAACACGACAGAUGCUCCAGGAGGACCUCCCGGUCUGGCUGCAGGGGCGCAGAGCAGUGCACACGUCCUCGUGCACCUCUCCCUUCCAGCCUCGCCGUCACGGGCACAGACAGGUGGGCUGGGAUCCUUGCUGCCGUUUCUUCUGGAGAAGCAGGAUCUAGGUCUUUCCUUGUCGGCUAGUUUUCAGGGGUGCUCGCUACAGAAGGAAGGCUGCGAGGACGACAGGGGUCCUUGCCCACCCACCCUCCACUGUCAGUGUGACUCGGUUUCCUUGCCAUGUCUGGUGUCCGAGAAGGUGUUCCUCCCUGGAUGGUGGAGGGGAGCAUGCAAAGCUCCCUGCAAAAACUGCAAAGCAUGCACGUGGGCUCAUUUCCCUCUCUGUGCCCUGGGGAGAUGGUGCCUGCCAUCAAGAAGCGUCCCUGCGGCGAUCUCCAGGGGGUCAUACUCUGGCCGGCCCUCCCUGCUGCCUCAGACCCACGGGGCAGUGGGCCUUCCUCUGUGCCCCCCACGACCUGCCUGCCUCCUCUCGGAAGAACUGAAUGCAGAUCGCCUUGUCUGUUUUCUGGAGUGUUCCUUGUGAUCUUUUGGGGAUGUGACAUUUGCAGCCUCAGUAAAGCGUUUUAGAAAUUGUUUUAUUUAUUGACUUAUUUAUUUAUUUAUUUAUUUAUUUAUUUAUUUAUUUAUACUCCUUACCUGUAUUUAAUAUUUGGCUUCUGACACCAAUUGAUACUCAUUUUAUUUGCAAUACUUUUUACCCAUGUAUCAGUCUCACAAUCAGCAAAAGAUCGAAAUAUUGCAAAUGCGCUUUAUUUCUUACAUUUUUAAACUGGGUUGCACAUGAGUCUCCCUCUGAUCCCCUCCUUCUCCGUGAACCACCAUCACAUGAUGUGUGGUGGACAUAGAGCUCGAGCCCUGGCUUUUCCAAGCCCUGGUCAGGAGCUGCCAGGACGUGGUGCUUCUUCUGUUCCCGGGAGAGAAGGCCCACACCCCACCCUGGGAGCCCCUCUGCCACCCCUGAGCUCGGCAUGUCCUACGUGGUGGCCCUGUGUGUGGCUGCCGCCCUGGAGCGUGCACGCAGAGGGCACUCACUGGGGGCAGUGUAGGAGCCUUGCAGGACAGUGAAGCCUGCGCGACUUGAAAGAUCGGUGGCAGAAGUGGGAACAUCGGCGCCUGAUCCUGGGUGGGACGGCCACUUGGCAUGGCCUCGUUCUGCGGCACGUGGCUGGGCCAUCUCCCGCUCUUCUUUACCGGCAGAGCUGGUGUCUGGUGGCACUCCUGCGAGCACAGGGUGACACGGUAGGCAGCCAUCGCCCUGGGUGUGCACAGCAGGCCUUCCCCUAGAGGCAGCCCCGGGGAUCACGCCGGACAUGCACUCCCUGAGCUCAUGGGCGCACGCAUUAGUGGAAAACCUUCCCCCACACAAAGCAAGGGAACAGGAAGCCAGAUCGGAGUCUGCUGCGCUCCCAUCUUUUUCCUAACAAACAGGUACAGCCGCCUCCUCAAGGAACUCCCCACCCUUACUUCGCUUGCAUGGACGUGCCACCCCAGGCCCAGAGCCUAUUUCUACUGUCAUUUGAAAAAGUAGACCAGUCCCAGGAGGCAUAUAGAGGACAUUUCUCAAGUGGAGAAUCGGGCCGAGAAGCUAAAACACAGCAUCCGUGUCCUGGGAGAGAGCAGGUGUGGGGGCCGACCCCCGAGACACAGAGGGGACGUGUCCUUGUCUCCUGCAAAAACAAAUCGGAUGCUAAAGGGGGCAGCACUCCCUGCCUUUGUUGGAAUUCGACAUGUGGGUGAGAAGCUUCCACACAGAGGGUGGUAUCGGCUGGGACACCACCGAGGAGGGAACGAAAGGAAAUGAUUCCAAGCUGCUGCCGUGUGACGAUGAGCGUUCGGUUUGGGGAGAAAAAGACAAGCCUCAGCUGUACACGCUCCAGAGCACCGCGAGCCUGGCGAGGGUUUGCUGGCGAGGCGGCCAGGAUGCUCUUGCUGGAGGCUCACGGAGGCUGUGGGCGGACGGGGCAGGGACACAGGCACGCAGCCCUCCUGGCGCCCUGGCUGGAGCCCAGCCCCGAGGCUCCUCCCGGCGGCCUCCCCGUUACUUCCAGGGGAAAGCUGCGGACGCUCACCCGCUCACCCCAACCUGGGCUAUGACUAGCUGCUGUUCCGGUCUUCCUUCCACAAGUUCCCUGGCGACGGGCAGGUGCAGAGGUCGCCAAGUGGGGCUCACAUCUGCCCACUGGGUUCAAAAGCCUCACCACCCAGACACCGAGGCCCUGCUUCUCUCUCUUGCCCCAUGAACUCUGACUUUUAUCUGACACUGUUGCAAACAUCUGAGCAGGAAAGAGAGGGUGAAGAUCACCAGCUCCAGAGGGUAACCAAGUGUGAACUUCCCCGACCGGCACACCGGCCCCCGUUCCCAAACACCUGCAUCGUGUUUUCAAAGCGCAAGAGCAAACGGGGAUUGAGUACACAAGGGCAGAGCUGUCUGUGUUCUGUGCAAUCUUCACUCUGCACACGUCAUAAAGCCUUUUUAUGAUAAUUCAAAACACUUUUCAGAAAGAGUUUAAUGUGAAGCAGAUUUCUUUGUGUAACAAAGAUGGGAAGGAUGUUGCUUGACAGUUGUUCUUGCAUCGGAGGAUGAUGGAGGGGCUGGGGUGGGGCACGCGUAACUGGGUUCUCACUGUGCGUGGUCGGUCCUCCAUGGGAGGCCUUACGGUGAUACAUCCGUUCUUCCGUGUUCUGGGGUCUGACGAAUUCUGACUCAUGAUGCGCAAGUACUUUUCCACUCAUUCUUGGAUGUGAGGUCAAAAAAAAAAAAAAGGUAAAAGCUCAUCCUCAAAGAAGCUGUUCUUGAAGAAAUUCCACAUGGGAUAAAGCUGUCAUCCCUUGAAAUAAUGCAUGAGGGGCAGCAGCCCAUUAGGCUUUGCAGCACCCUCAUGGCAUCUGCAGUGGAGGCCAGCCUGCCUUCUGCACCGUAAGGGCGGGUGGAAUGCAGAUGCCUCCCCAGGUCUGGGUGUCUGAGGCGGGGACCAUCUGCAGGAAAAAGGAACAGCAGUGCACAUUAUCACCGAGGUCGCUAGCUUUCCACAUGUGCUUGUAAGUACUUUGGAUCUGGGUGUUCUGAUUUAAUACACACCUGAAACCUCUGGGUAGCUCGUUAAAUUUCAGAGUCUCAUCCUUGGGGUCUGGGGCACGGCCUGAAAUCUGCUUUUCUAAUGAGCUCCUGGGAUCCGUGGACUGUGCUGAGCUCGGGUAAUCCUCAUAACAGACCUGAGGAUUAAAUGUGAUUUACGCUCCUUACAGGUGUAGCUCACAGGGCUGUCUUCCAAAGCAGGUGGUCUCUUGGCGGGAGUGACCCUCUCUGUUCGCUCAGCACAGAUGAGCCAGAGCAAGCUGCGGGGAGGUGGGUCUGCGCAGCAUCCUGUUCCCUUUCAUGCACUCUGUUUGCUCCCCACUUUCUCAGGAAGGGCGUCAGUGGGUCAAGGAGGGAGCCGAAUCCCUCCCUAACCAGCUGAAUCCCUCCCUAACUGCAUACAAGGAGGAGGCCCGGGUGGGGGGCGCCAUAAAUACUGCACCCCGACAGGGACUUCCUCCUAAAGAGAGAAGGCCGGAGAAGAUCCAGUCUCUUGCCUGGGAUACAGUGGAAAAUCACUCAUCACCCCAAGAACAAGGAAAGCCACAACAUGAAUGAGAAGCGACAGUCGGCAGACACCAGCACCAAGAUGACGCGGAUGCUGGAAUCAUCGGAUGAGGACCUUAUGGCAGCCAGCAACCAGGAACGCUCUUGAAGUGAGUUGAAAAAUUCUCUGCGUCUGCAGAGAAAUAAAUAAUAUAAAAAUUAAUCA